rnacentral:rRNA from 1 species
GACAGAGGGUGCAAACGUUGUUCGGAAUUACUGGGCGUAAAGCGCGUGUAGGCUGCUUCGCAAGUCGGAUGUGAAAGCCCUGGGCUCAACCCAGGAAGUGCAUUCGAAACUGCAGAGCUGGAGUCCUGGAGAGGAAGGCGGAAUUCUCGGUGUAGAGGUGAAAUUCGUAGAUAUCGAGAGGAACACCGGUGGCGAAGGCGGCCUUCUGGACAGUGACGUGA